UCAGACUCGCCAGCAGCUGCAGCUCUGCACGUUUUAUCGACAACUUUGAAGUAACCGAGUGCAUAUGACGGAAAACAAUCUUGUGAAAAUACAUCCGGUUGAGUGGAGACUACAGCUGUCACGCAGGGACUGUGCAAACAACGCAUGGAGGAAGGAGAUGCUUUCUUCGCUGCCGGAGGAAGACGGAACGAGAGCGGCAGGACGCGGGCCGAAACAUGGAUGGGCGCGCGCGCGGCUGAGAAAGAAGAUGCAACGAGCAGCCGCCCAGCCGACACGAGCCUCGGCAAUGCUGCACCAGGGUCACCUGCAGCUACGGAAGGAUUCCUGCCGCUUUCGCCCCCCUCCACCUCGCCGCCUGCCCGGAGCACGGCCGGCCACUGGACGUGCGCUGCAUUCUGAUGUUGUCUGCCAUUCCUAGGUGUGUUAUCAGCUCGGUAAUGGCUUCUACGUGCUUGAAGAGGAGUCCUCCAGUCGCUCUUCAAGGUGUGGCAAUGCAUACAGGUUAGAAAUUUCUGCUGAAAGUCAUUCCCAAGGCAUAUCAUUCUCAGGCAACUCAUGCAUUCCCAGGCCAAGGCAGUCUCCGAUACAAUGAAUAACGUUUACGGU
rnacentral:misc_RNA from 1 species